rnacentral:rRNA from 1 species
AACGAACGCUGGCGGCAUGCCUAACACAUGCAAGUCGAACGAGACCUUCGGGUCUAGUGGCGCACGGGUGCGUAACGCGUGGGAACCUGCCCUUAGGUUCGGAAUAACUCCCCGAAAGGGGUGCUAAUACCGGAUAAUGUUUUCGGACCAAAGAUUUAUCGCCUUUGGAUGGGCCCGCGUUGGAUUAGCUAGUUGGUAGGGUAAAAGCCUACCAAGGCGACGAUCCAUAGCUGGUCUGAGAGGAUGAUCAGCCACACUGGGACUGAGACACGGCCCAGACUCCUACGGGAGGCAGCAGUGGGGAAUAUUGGACAAUGGGCGAAAGCCUGAUCCAGCAAUGCCGCGUGAGUGAUGAAGGCCUUAGGGUUGUAAAGCUCUUUUACCCGGGAUGAUAAUGACAGUACCGGGAGAAUAAGCUCCGGCUAACUCCGUG